rnacentral:ncRNA from 2 species
UGAUACCAGGGUCAAAAGGUCUAAACCCACAUGAGCUUGCUCAUAGGUGGGUGAAAGACCUUGGGACCCGCCACGAUAUGCGAAUAUUGGGGGAAUUGUGGGAGUGCUUAGCACGGAACAAUUCGCAGGUAUUA